AGUUAGGGUGUUGGGAUGUUAGUGGUGGUGAGUUAGGGUGUUAGGAUGUUAGUGGAGGUGAGUUAGGGUGUUAGGAUGUUAGUGGUGGUGAGUUAGGGUGUUAGGAUGUUAGAGGAGGUGAGUUAGGGUGUUAGGAUGUUAGUGGUGGUGAGUUAGGGUGUUAGGAUGUUAGUGGAGGUGAGUUAGGGUGUUAGGAUGUUAGAGGAGGUGAGUUAGGGUGUUAGGAUGUUAGAGGAGGUGAGUUAGGGUGUUAGGAUGUUAGAGGUGGUGAGUUAGGGUGUUAGGAUGUUAGAGGAGGUGAGUUAGGGUGUUAGGAUGUUAGUGGAGGUGAGUUAGGGUGUUAGGAUGUUAGAGGUGGUGAGUUAGGGUGUUAGGAUGUUAGAGGAGGUGAGUUAGGGUGUUAGGAUGUUAGAGGAGGUGAGUUAGGGUGUUAGGAUGUUAGAGGAGGUGAGUUAGGGUGUUAGGAUGUUAGAGGUGGUGAGUUAGGGUGUUAGGAUGUUAGAGGAGGUGAGUUAGGGUGUUAGGAUGUUAGUGGAGGUGAGUUAGGGUGUUAGGAUGUUAGAGGAGGUGAGUUAGGGUGUUAGGAUGUUAGAGGAGGUGAGUUAGGGUGUUAGGAUGUUAGAGGUGGUGAGUUAGGGUGUUAGGAUGUUAGAGGAGGUGAGUUAGGGUGUUAGGAUGUUAGAGGAGGUGAGUUAGGGUGUUAGGAUGUUAGUGGAGGUGAGUUAGGGUGUUAGGAUGCUAGAGGAGGUGAGUUAGGGUGUUAGGAUGUUAGAGGUGGUGAGUUAGGGUGUUAGGAUGUUAGAGGAGGUGAGUUAGGGUGUUAGGAUGCUAGAGGAGGUGAGUUAGGGUGUUAGGAUGUUAGAGGAGGUGAGUUAGGGUGUUAGGAUGUUAGUGGAGGUGAGUUAGGGUGUUAGGAUGCUAGAGGAGGUGAGUUAGGGUGUUAGGAUGUUAGAGGUGGUGAGUUAGGGUGUUAGGAUGUUAGAGGAGGUGAGUUAGGGUGUUAGGAUGUUAGAGGAGGUGAGUUAGGGUGUUAGGAUGCUAGUGGAGGUGAGUUAGGGUGUUGGGAUGUUAGUGGAGGUGAGUUAGGGUGUUAGGAUGUUAGAGGAGGUGAGUUAGGGUGUUAGGAUGUUAGUGGUGGUGAGUUAGGGUGUUAGGAUGUUAGUGGAGGUGAGUUAGGGUGUUAGGAUGCUAGAGGAGGUGAGUUAGGGUGUUAGGAUGUUAGAGGAGGUGAGUUAGGGUGUUAGGAUGUUAGUGGAGGUGAGUUAGGGUGUUAGGAUGUUAGAGGAGGUGAGUUAGGGUGUUAGGAUGUUAGUGGUGGUGAGUUAGGGUGUUAGGAUGUUAGUGGAGGUGAGUUAGGGUGUUAGGAUGCUAGAGGAGGUGAGUUAGGGUGUUAGGAUGUUAGAGGUGGUGAGUUAGGGUGUUAGGAUGUUAGAGGUGGUGAGUUAGGGUGUUAGGAUGUUAGAGGAGGUGAGUUAGGGUGUUAGGAUGUUAGAGGAGGUGAGUUAGGGUGUUAGGAUGUUAGAGGAGGUGAGUUAGGGUGUUAGGAUGUUAGAGGAGGUGAGUUAGGGUGUUAGGAUGCUAGAGGAGGUGAGUUAGGGUGUUGGGAUGUUAGUGGAGGUGAGUUAGGGUGUUAGGAUGUUAGAGGAGGUGAGUUAGGGUGUUAGGAUGUUAGUGGAGGUGAGUUAGGGUGUUAGGAUGCUAGAGGAGGUGAGUUAGGGUGUUAGGAUGUUAGAGGUGGUGAGUUAGGGUGUUAGGAUGUUAGAGGUGGUGAGUUAGGGUGUUAGGAUGUUAGAGGAGGUGAGUUAGGGUGUUAGGAUGUUAGAGGAGGUGAGUUAGGGUGUUAGGAUGCUAGUGGAGGUGAGUUAGGGUGUUGGGAUGUUAGUGGAGGUGAGUUAGGGUGUUAGGAUGUUAGAGGAGGUGAGUUAGGGUGUUAGGAUGUUAGUGGUGGUGAGUUAGGGUGUUAGGAUGUUAGAGGAGGUGAGUUAGGGUGUUAGGAUGUUAGUGGUGGUGAGUUAGGGUGUUAGGAUGUUAGUGGAGGUGAGUUAGGGUGUUAGGAUGCUAGAGGAGGUGAGUUAGGGUGUUAGGAUGUUAGAGGUGGUGAGUUAGGGUGUUAGGAUGUUAGAGGUGGUGAGUUAGGGUGUUAGGAUGUUAGAGGAGGUGAGUUAGGGUGUUAGGAUGUUAGAGGAGGUGAGUUAGGGUGUUAGGAUGUUAGAGGAGGUGAGUUAGGGUGUUAGGAUGUUAGAGGAGGUGAGUUAGGGUGUUAGGAUGUUAGAGGAGGUGAGUUAGGGUGUUAGGAUGUUAGUGGAGGUGAGUUAGGGUGUUAGGAUGCUAGAGGAGGUGAGUUAGGGUGUUAGGAUGCUAGUGGAGGUGAGUUAGGGUGUUAGGAUGCUAGUGGUGGUGAGUUAGGGUGUUAGGAUGCUAGAGGAGGUGAGUUAGGGUGUUAGGAUGUUAGAGGAGGUGAGUUAGGGUGUUAGGAUGCUAGAGGAGGUGAGUUAGGGUGUUAGGAUGCUAGUGGAGGUGAGUUAGGGUGUUAGGAUGUUAGAGGAGGUGAGUUAGGGUGUUAGGAUGUUAGAGGAGGUGAGUUAGGAUGUUAGGAUGUUAGAAGUGGUGAGUUAGGGUGUUAGAAUGUUAGUGGAGGUGAGUUAGGGUGUUAGGAUGUUAGAGGAGGUGAGUUAGGGUGUUAGGAUGUUAGAGGAGGUGAGUUAGGGUGUUAGGAUGUUAGAGGAGGUGAGUUAGGGUGUUAGGAUGUUAGCAGUGGUGAGUUAGGGUGUUCAGGUGGUAAUGGUGGUGAGUUAGGGUGUUAGGAUGUUAGAGGAGGUGAGUUAGGGUGUUAGGAUGUUAGAGGAGGUGAGUUAGGGUGUUAGGAUGUUAGAGGAGGUGAGUUAGGGUGUUAGGAUGUUAGUGGUGGUGAGUUAGGGUGUUCAGGUGGUAAUGGUGGUGAGUUAGGGUGUUAGGAUGUUAGUGGUGGUGAGUUAGGGUGUUCAGGUGGUAAUGGUGGUGAGUUAGGGUGUUCGGGAGCUAGCAGGGAUGAGUUAUGGUUGUUCACUUUGUACUUUGGGAUUGUGUGAUUCUCUCUCUCUCUCUAUCAUUUUUUGGAAUUUGUUUGGGUUGUGUCCUCACUAAGUGUGAAGGACGGGUGUGGUGGUCUAUCAGACUGUAAUGUGAGAAGUUUCCACUGCUGAUACUGUUGUUAGGUGUGGAGCUUUUGAGCACCGUGACCUCUGUCGUGCACGAUGCAGCAAUUUCCUGUUUAUCCACGAUCUCUGUCUGCAUCUGGCCUUUUCUCUAAACUCAUAGGGUGUGUGUGUGUGUGUGUGUGGGUGUGUGUGAAUGUGCAUGUGCUUCAUGGCUGGGUGGUAUUCUCUUUGUUGGCUCACCCAAGUGCCGCUUUCACUUUCAUUUUAUUUACUCUUUGAUUUAUUCAGAUUUAUAAUCUACUUCCAGUGAUGGUGAUUCAUUUUAACUAUUUUUUAUUUUGUUAUUUUAUAAUGAAGCCGUUUAUCUCACAGCCGUGUGAUCCCUACAGUUUCCAAGCGUACAUGAGUAAGGAUAUGUUUUAUGACACGUCAUGAGAACUGUCACAAUAGUCGAUGUUGAAAAUCGCUCUAGUCAGCAUUCACAAAGUUUCAUGAAAGGUUG